UGGGGUUUUCCUAGUAGUGGUGGUGUAGUACUUCAAAAUCAGCUAGGGUAUAUUGGCUGAAAUUCAGCAGGUGCAGGAGUUUCUGAGGCACCUUCCCACUACUAAAGAUGCUCUAACUGAUAAGGCUACACACCUGAGAAUCCCUUGCAUAAAAGAAGCUACAGCUGCCUGAUACCUCUCCUCUGCUCUCACCCACAGGCCCUACUCACCAGGAACAAGGACUGCAGGCCAUUCCUACAGAAUGGGGGACUGUAUCGUGGAAAGGAGUGACUCUGAAAAGGAUGUAGGAGUCACAGUGGACUAACAACUCAACAAGCGCUCCCAGUGUAUAACAG